CUUCGCGACGCUCGUCCUCGCAAGGAGAAGGAGCUUGGACCACCACCGCCGCUCCCCCUGGAGCUGCACGCAAGGGAUCGACCAUCCGAGCUCCGCUGCUGAGCCCCUUCUGCACUGACCUUGAUGCGCUCGCCGGUGAGAUGGGAGAGCACGGUCGCCAGUCCGUCGGCCCUCUCCUGCAGGCAUGCAUCCAUGGGGAUUGCCACGCCCCGCCACCUCCACUCGCAGGUUCUUUGUUGAAGAUGAGGUGGCUCUCAUAAGCAAUGUGGCUUGGUUCCUUGGAUUACAGUCAUCGAGAGGUGUGAUGGGCAGAAUACUUCAGCUGGCAACGCGUUUGCCCGGGGUCGGCGAGAAAAUAUGGGUUGGGUGCCGCAAGAUAUGAUGUUGAAUGUGGUGUUGCUCUGUCCGUUGGUUGCAUAUACAACAUGCAUGUUCAAGUGCUGGUGUAUAUACCUCAAGAGAUGGUAUGUGGAUGGUUUCCUCAUUUUCAAUGGUUGGAUGGCUUGAAAGGAGAGACCUAGAGCAACAUCAGCGACCACAUUAAACAUUACUCUGGAAUUACUGCAGGUGAUGGAAGAGGAGAUCGACUAGGAAGGAAAUGAGCAAUUAUUACCACAUCUCUUAUUUGAUGUAUGGUUUUGAUUUCUGCAUACAGAGUAAUUUGAGUGUAUUUCCAGUAUUUCAAGUUUUAACACUAAACAAUCCAUAGUAAUUGUUGGCAUUGUUUCUGUAUUCAGGUAGCUUGAGUAUUUAUUCAAUAGCGUUUCCAAAAAAUUCUCCUCUUUUGUCUACUUCACUUUUUGACUGAAUAGAUGGAGGUUUAAGACAGCUACUGUAUGUACACGUCAAGUUGUGGCUGUUUUAUUUUUCUUCAUUAUGGUUUUGGAUUUGUACAGAUGUAUGUACACGUCAACACAUCUACCAUUGGUUAUUGGACUAACUUUUGUUGAUUUUUACUUUCCAUCUUAUUCCUAGGGUUAAUUUCUAGACUAAUUUUUAAGAUUUGAAGUCAACUUUCUAAAAUCUGUUUAGAUUCACAGAAGACAGGCAAGCAAACAAUGCAUAGGAGAGAAGCCAUUGAUUCAUACCGUGUUCUGUUUGAGGUGCUGAAGAGAAUGGCAGAUCAGGGAGGAUGCAUAUUGAUGUGGUGAGGACUGACGGUUGGGGGGAGGUGGUAGUGCAACCAUAGGGAUCAGCGGACGUGUGUUGCUGAUUUAGUGAAGAAGAUUCUGGAAAGUUUCUAACUGUUUCUGGUAAAGUUCAUGUGCGAAGUUAGCUUACUAAUUAAUAAUUUCUAACCGUUUGUGCAUAAGAGCUAUGUUUCUGGAAAGUUUAACAUGGUGAUUUGACCUGCCAAUGAUCUGUGUUAGCUACCAAUAAACGGUCACUGUUUAUUUCCUUAUAACUGUAAGGCCAAUGAUUUGUGUUAGCUACCAGUAAAUAUUCUUAGAUUUGUUUUCAUGUAUGGUUGGUAGUGUGUUGAUUUCCUAGAUUUGCUCCUUCUGUUUUCUGAAUUUUCUGCUGCGACUGGAUUUCUUCGACAUUUACUAUUAUGGUAGGAUUCAACAAAGCUACCAAGUCUAUACCCUCCACCUUAUCCUAUCAUCUGACUUUCUGAGUAGACUUGCUGCGUUCACGGUUAGAUGCUUCUUGCUAAUUCCUGGUAACUCAGGCAUACUGAUGUUAUAAAAUGUUCAGGUUGCGGUCAGUUCAGCUUCUUGCAUAAUUAGAGUACAACUAGAUAUCUCGGUAAUCUCUACUAUGUUGCAAGUAGCAUGCCCAUUAUCCUGAUUCAUAUACAAGGCGUACCCUAUGAAUCCCUGAUUGAUAUUUAUUUGGAGUUUGAUGACCAGAUUCAUAGAAGAACCAAAUCCUUGAAGCAUUUGUUGAUUCAUAUACUCACCGUCGUUACUAUUUACCAUUUUGAACAACAAGUUCCUAAAUUCAUUUUAUGUUAAGUUCAUUUUCUACUUGCUCUGUAAUUAGUGCAGCGCUAUCAUUUAGGGUUACUAUUGAUCUGUUGGUUUAUGGUUUAUUAGGAUAUAUGUUCUCUUAUGCAUUGGCAUUUGCAUCUAACUGGUUUUUUAUGAGACUGCACCCAAAAUCUAAUACGUCUUUGAAUAGCUCCCUUUCAGCGAAGGAACUUCCUUAGAUGUAUGCUUUCAGUGAGUAUUUUCUAGACAUCGUAAAUCUUAUAUAUUCUUAUAUUACUUAUGCAUGUCGUGCUCUGCCAUAACUUUAUUGGGUUUAUUCUAAGACUAGAUCUUAUUUGCUUGCUAAAGCUGUAAGAAUGUGCUAUCCUAUGCAAUAUCAUCUUAUGAUGAAAUAGGAUUCUCCGAAUUUAACCCACACGUCUUCCAAUACAAUAUGUGAUUGAAUUAGUUAGGUCAUAGUCAUCACUGGUAACUGCCUUCUUCAGUUGUGUUGAAUCAGUUUCAGCAUGGAGGGCAUCAGCAAGUCACUCUAAUUUACCCACGCCUGCAUCCAGUGCAGUAACUUGGUCAUCUCUGAUUAUGAAUCCCAAACCACCAGAUUUGUAGUCGCUAUGUAAAUAGUUGUUAGUACUUCACAACGUCUCUAUGUCGUUGCUUUCUGUAAAUGGUUCCAUAUAUAUUGGAUUCUCAGGUAGUCAGGUAGAACCCAAGAUGGUUCUAACAGCUUCUCUAUGAUUGUGUAUUACUACUUGUGUUUUGUUUGCAUUCCAGUUUAAAUAAUAGCACAUAUUUUCCUUUGAUGGAAGAAAUUAGCACAUAUAUAUGUCAGGUCAAACUGUACUUUCAUUAUUGAAUUAUGUUACUGCAUACUUCUUUGUAGGUCAGAUUGUUAUUAUUCGUGAUUUGGUACAUGUUACAUAUUUAUUCAUGGUUGCUCAUGGAUAUUUUACUUUUUUUAGGGGUCAUGGAUGUUUUACUUAAUUGCAUAGAGCAAAUGCACUUUUUUUCGAAAUGGGGUAUCCCCAGCCUCUGCAUCAAUUGAUGCAUUCGGCUUUCUUUAUUAAAUAGAGCAAGUGCACUAUUACUAUCUUGGUUUUCCACCUAUGCCACCGUCAUAUAUGCAUUGAGUUCUGGACCCUAUAUAGAAAAAAAAUGAUCUUCCGUUACUUCUUGAUCACGCAUUCUUUCCCAUGGAUCAUAAACAGCCCGGGGUCUUCUACUUUCUUGUCGCAUUAAGUACCUUGCUGCAUCUCUACUAUGUGUAAGUAUCCUCUUGUCACGCUAUCUUCCUCUUAGGAAGUGUUCCUGUCUUACGUUUUGUUGAUUGGUUCAUGGUAGCAACUUCAGUGUUUUACCCUGGCUUAAGACUGUGAUUUAAAAUUUCUAGCUGAACUGAAGUUAGUACAAAAAAUGAAACCAUUUUACAUUAUAUAUGAAUUGCAAUUAAACUGAAGUUAGAAACCCCUGGUGAGAAAAGGAAGGGCAUUACCCUGAGUUGUUGUUCUCUGUUAGUUUUCUCAAACAAUCAGUGGUACUUCAGAAUUGCAUGGAUACUUUAUUUAUUUUUAUCAUAGUUGUACUGUUUAACUUAAUUGUAUUGCU